rnacentral:misc_RNA from 1 species
AUCGGCCUAUUGGCUUCGUGGAAUACUAUAUGAGGAAAAGAGAGAUACUGGGUUUGUAUAACUAAACAUGACUCUGACGGUAGCGGUAAGGACAAUGAAAAACGAAGACAGUCCCCCGCCGGACUAUGAUCUCCUUCAAUCUCCCAAUUCUCACUACGAAAAUACCAAAGUAUCGUCACGAGCGAAGACCAUUCCACAUCCGACAGUUAUUAAAUCGCUAAUACUAGAAGAUCAGCGGAGCGGAACUUUCCUACUACGUCCUAGUUCUCACCCGCAUUAUUUAUAUACAAUCAGUGUUAAUAAAAAAGAGGACGGUGGCCAAACAACAAAGGCACCAGAUUUUACAACAAUUGGCAAUCUAGUGUGUUAUUAUAUGCAUAAACAUGCAAAAGCUUAUUAUGAAGAUGCGGACGCUUUCAGGCUACUCUACCCGUACAGGAAACGUGUCGUAUCUUUACAAACUUUAGCCGGAGAAGAAAUUAUAAGAAAUACUCAAAGAUCUCAAUUAGGAAAUUUGUUUAUCAUGAAAAACUUUGGCAGUAUUCAUUCUAUCCUUUAAGAAAGAAAACACUCUCCAAACCAACAGGUAAUUUAAAAUAGUUCUAAAAGAAAAACAGUGAAAAGACUUUAAAUUAAACGAAAAAUAUCUAAAGGACAAUAUUAAAAAUAUUGAUGAAGAAAGACAAUAAUGAUAAUGAAUAUCAAAUAGUUUUUUUUUCUUCUGUUCUUUUGUUCUUUAUUUCGAAAAUUUUGCUUUUGUUGCAAAGAGAAAACAAAAAAAAAAGGAAAAUUUUUGCAAACGUUGAUAAAAAAAAAUUGUCAAUAAUUAUUAAUCUUUGUACAGAAAUACGGAAAUGUUCUAGUCAGCAACAAAAACAUAAAGAAAAGAGAGAGAAGGCAGUUGAAAAUUGAAUAAAAAACAAAAAAAAUACAUCUAAAUAAACAACAACAACAACAACAACUUUGUUCUUUUUACGUAUUUUUGUUAUGUUUUUUUUAUUAUUAUUAAAUAAUAAGUAAACAAUGAAAAACUUUGUAAAUAAGUUCUUACUAAAUGUUGUAAAUUAUUGUAAUCAUCUUUUAGUCUUCAUAAAUUAAAAUGAAAACGAG